CCUACGGGAGGCAGCAGUGAGGAAUAUUGGUCAAUGGACGAGAGUCUGAACCAGCCAAGUAGCGUGAAGGAUGACUGCCCUAUGGGUUGUAAACUUCUUUUAUAUGGGAAUAAAAUGUUCCACGUGUGGGAUUUUGUAUGUACCAUAUGAAUAAGGAUCGGCUAACUCCGUGCCAGCAGCCGCGGUAAUACGGAGGAUCCGAGCGUUAUCCGGAUUUAUUGGGUUUAAAGGGAGCGUAGGUGGAUUGUUAAGUCAGUUGUGAAAGUUUGCGGCGCAACCGUAAAAUUGCAGUUGAAACUGGCAGUCUUGAGUACAGUAGAGGUGGGCGGAAUUCGUGGUGUAGCGGUGAAAUGCUUAGAUAUCACGAAGAACUCCGAUUGCGAAGGCAGCUCACUGGACUGCAACUGACACUGAGGCUCGAAAGUGUGGGGAGCAAACAGGAUUAGAUACCCUAGUAGUC
rnacentral:rRNA from 1 species